rnacentral:rRNA from 1 species
GACGAACGCUGGCGGCGUGCUUAAAACAUGCAAGUCGAACGGUGACGUCCCGAUUUAUCGGGACCGAGCAGUGGCGCACGGGUGCGUAACACGUGAACAACCUGCCGCGCGGUGGGGGAUACCGCCUCGAAAGGGGCGUUAAUACCGCAUAGGCCGGUCCGGGGCCUCCCGGACCGGGGAAAGCCGCAAGGCGCCGGGUGAGGGGUUCGCGGCCUAUCAGCUAGUUGGUGCGGUAACGGCGCACCAAGGCGACGACGGGUCGCCGGCCUGAGAGGGUGGCCGGCCACACUGGGACUGAGACACGGCCCAGACUCCUACGGGAGGCAGCAGUAAGGAAUAUUGGGCAAUGGUCGAAAGACUGACCCAGCCAUGCCGCGUGCAGGAUGAAGGCCCUAUGGGUUGUAAACUGCUUUUAGCCGGGAAUAAACACCCGUUUUAUAACGGGCCCGAAGGUACCGGCUGAAUAAGCAUCGGCUAACUCCGUG